CUCCCCGCUGUGCAGCUUUUCUCAUAGGACGGGGCGGUCCCGAAGGAGGUGCGUCCACCUUUGCCUGAUGUCUUUGCUCCGUGGCAUCCGCCACCCGCCGUCACUCCCCGUUUCCUUCUUUCCCUCCGUGCUUCCGAGACCAUGCAGGCUGAGCAGGAGCCCCUGGCCCGUGGACGGCCCCGCGGGAAUGGCGCCGCCCGCCUCCUCCUCUGCUCGCCUUGGCAACGUCUCCCUUUCUCGUGGUUCUUGCCCGCGGCGCACGGACGCGCCUGCUCGGGUCUCUCCCACCCCAGCAGAGCCGCCCCGUCCCCAGCUCCAGGACACUGCCCGCAAGUCGCCAAAGGUCUUCCCUAAAGUGCCUCCUUUUCCUGACCAUAAGAGCUCUUCGUGUAAACUGUAGAAAACGGAGCGAUUGUGUAGAAGUAGAAAGCAAAAUCUUUGCCCCACAAUCCCGAGGAUAUUGCCCGUGGCCGCCCUCCUCCAGACUCCUGAGGGAAGCUCCUAAAAGAAGUAUUUUUCAUUUGUGAAAAGCUGUUCUUGGCUACAGCAUAGGUGAUCCACAAGAGAAUCCAUGGUGUUGCAAAAUAUGCAUUAUGAUUUAGGUGAAGUAAGCCAGACACAAAAGGACAAAUAUUAUAUUAAUCUAUUUAUUAAACAUGUAAUCCUAAGUCCUUAUCUUACUUCAACUCUGUGCUGUACCUAGAAUAGGCAAAUCUAUAAUUUAGAACGUAGCUUAAAAGUUCUUGAGGUCUGGUGGGAGAAGGGAAUGGGGAGUUAUUACUUAGUGGAUACAGAGUUGCUGUUUGGGAGAUGAGAUAGUUCUGGAAGUCAGUAGUGCUUAUGGUUGCAUAUUAUAAAUGUACUUAAUACCACUAAAUUGUUCACUUAAAAAUAGUUAAAAUAGUGAAUUUUAUAUUGUAUGUAUUUUACCACAAUUUUAAAAAGUUAUAUAUAUCCAAGAAGAGUAAAAAACCUGGCAAGUACUCAUAAAAGGAGAAGGAA